ensembl:lncRNA
GCUCUCCUCGUUUUGAUUAAUUCUGACAUAAUAACUGUUGGUUUAUUUAUCGGUGCAGCAGCAGAACAUUUUCCACAGACAGUUUUCCUGCUCGUUGUCUUGUUUUAACCAGUUUUCGUCCUUCGGCUGAUUCUACCAGCAGACACUGAAAGGACUCUGAUAGUUCGAGUGAAAGUAGCAGUUCCUCCUGAAGGUCAGAGAUUGCAGCAUCUGAGGGCCUCUUCAAAAGAAGACGUAGUUGAUGAAGGCGUUCUGGAGCAGGACCAGAAAGACCACGACCAAGCAGCCUUGAGAUCUUAGGCAGCGUCUCCCUCAGGUCCCUCUCUAUCUCCCCACACAUCCACCAACCACUGGAACACAUCUCCAAAGUUCUGCUGGGCCAGCUCAGCUUCCCCUCAGAAGAAGUGCUGCCACCUGCCAGAUGAAGGAG